rnacentral:rRNA from 1 species
AUACGGAGGACGCGAGCGUUAUCCGGAUUCAUUGGGUUUAAAGGGUGCGCAGGCGGCCGUGCAAGUCAGCGGUCAAAUGUCGGUGCCCAACAUCGUCCUUCCGUUGAAACUGGCAGUCUUGAAUGCACACAGGGAAGGUGGAAUUCGUCGUGUAGCGGUGCAAUGCUUAGAUAUGACGAGGAACUCCGAUCGCGAAGGCAUCCUUCUGGAGUGCGAUUGACGCUGAGGCUCGAAAGCGCGGGUAUCAAACAGGAUUAGAUACCCUGGUAGUCCGCGCCGUAAACGAUGGAUGCUCGUCAUUGGGGUAUUAGUUUCAGUGACCAAGCGAAAGCAUUAAGCAUUCCGCCUGGGGAGUACGGCCGCAAGGUUGAAACUCAAAUGAAUUGACGGGG